GAUAAACGCUAGCGGCAGGCUUAACACAUGCAAGUCGAGGGGCAGCAUAGAUUGUAGCAAUACAAUUGGUGGCGACCGGCGCACGGGUGCGUAACGCGUAUGCAACCUACCCGUCACAGGGGGAUAAUCCGGAGAAAUCUGGUCUAAUACCCCAUAACAUAUGGAUCGGCAUCGGUUCAUGUUGAAAUUUUCGGAGGUGACGGAUGGGCAUGCGUAGCAUUAGCUUGUUGGUGAGGUAACGGAUCACCAAGGCGACGAUGCUUAGGGGGCCAGAGAGGGUUGCCCCCAACACUGGUACUGAGACACGGACCAGACUCCGACGGGAGGCGGCGGUGAGUAAUAUUGGUCAAUGGGCGCAAGCCUGAACCAGCCAUGCCGCGUGCAGGAUGACGGCUCUAUGAGUUGUAAACUGCUUUUGUACGAGGGUAAAGUGGGUGACGUGUAACCUUUUGAAAGUAUCGUACGAAUAAGGAUCGGCUAACUCCGUGCCAGCCGCCGCCGUAA
rnacentral:rRNA from 1 species